AGGCAGCAGUGAGGAAUAUUGGUCAAUGGCCCGGAAGGCUGAACCAGCCAAGCCGCGUGAAGGACGAAGGUGCCAAGCAUUGUAAACUUCUUUUGUCAAGGGACAAAAUCAGGCUCGAGAGCCUGACCGAGGGUACUUGAAGAAAAAGCAUCGGCUAACUCCGUGCC
rnacentral:rRNA from 1 species